rnacentral:sRNA from 1 species
UUUCAACACCCAGUACACUGAGUGCUACAUAGUGGGUACUCAAUAAAUAUCAGUUAAAUAAAUAAAUGAAUAGAUAGAUGUGAUACCCCGCCUCUUGGUCAAGGUUUCCAGAAGGUGUAAUGGCCUCACCUAACAUGUCCUCUCACAACAGGCUGGCGAGACCUGGCCUCGCAAUGGGAUGGAAGUAAACAAAGAGUGAAUUCUGAAAUCGGUUAAUGCAUGCAGUGCCUGGAAAGGCUGGAGGAAGAGGCAGGCCUCAAGCUGGGGACCAUUCUGAACCUGUCGCGCUUUGGGGCAGAAAUCCCUCCAGCUCACAGAGGGAACUUGGAGAAAUCCCUUCUAACCAAACAAGUUCAUCAGGAUCCAGGAAGUAAUCUAUGGUCACAGGACUGUUGCCUGGAGCCCCAGUGCUCUGACAAAGGGAAGGGUCAAAGGGUUGCUGAUUCUGGGGGAAAUACUGGCUGCAGUAUUGAGGCCAAAUGGAGUUUGGACACUUGGGACCAGCUCUGUACAGUGGACCCUGGUGGAAAUGCUUGGGCAGGCCCCCAUCUUCACAGCAUCACUGUGAAAACCAGCAAGUUGGUCAAGAAGCUGGAUAAGCAGUUCCUUGGCUUACCUGCUUCUUUGCUCUGGGCCUACUGCAGGGAGGCUGGACCACUUGAGGAGGCAGAUGAUCUUGAUCUCUGCAUCCAAUCAUGAACAAGGUUCUCUGAUGAAGAGGGGCUAAACGGCUGAAAUGGGGUAUCACUCAGAAAGUCACAGCCUUCUCCAAGCACCAUGGAGGCUACCCAAGUUACCUGUAAAUACAUGGGGCCUGGCCAGAGAAAUGGGGAGGGCAGUGGUGAUAAUGUGCAGAACCAGGAAGAAGGCAGGUUCCGACACAGACUGAAGGCUGCUGAAGUUUCCAAGGACAGGGGUAUUACUCACCUGCGUAGCAGCCAGGGCCUUAUUCUGCAACGUUUCCAGGCCCAGAGCUGGGUGGCAGUCAGGAGCUACUGGCUGUGUCCCGACAUCUCUCCCAGAAUCCAACCAGAGUGAGGGCCUCCUGUAAGCAGGUCACGGUGGAGCCUACUUCUCACACUCUUAUCCAUCUCCCUCCUCCCUUCCCUUGGGCAGGUGGAUCCUGUGAAACUGCGCCAGUCUAUCCGCACAGUUCUUUUCAACCAGUGCAUGAUAUCUUUCCCCAUGGUGGUCUUCCUCUAUCCCUUCCUCAAAUGGUGGAGAGACCCCUGCCGCCGUGAGCUACCCACCUUCCACUGGUUCCUCCUGGAGCUGGCCAUCUUCACGCUGAUCGAGGAAGUCUUGUUCUACUAUUCACACCGGCUCCUUCACCACCCAACAUUCUACAAGAAAAUCCACAAGAAACACCAUGAGUGGACAGCUCCCAUUGGCGUGAUCUCUCUCUAUGCCCACCCUAUAGAGCAUGCGGUCUCCAACAUGCUACCGGCGAUAGUGGGCCCAUUAGUAAUGGGCUCCCACUUGUCCUCCAUCACCAUGUGGUUUUCCUUGGCCCUCAUCAUCACCACCAUCUCCCACUGUGGCUACCACCUUCCCUUCCUGCCUUCGCCUGAAUUCCACAACUACCACCAUCUCAAGUAAGGCCCCUCUCCCCACAAUGGGUCCCUAGGCAACAACCAUCACCCUCCCUCCUUAAGCUUCUGAUAGCAGACACUGGUAUCUCAGUUUACAUGUGAGUGCUAGUUGGGGAAGAGGUCUGAUGGCUGGGAAAAUAACCACACUGGGAUGACCUUACUCUUUUCCUUCUGAAAUUGGGUCCUCCUCCAACUGGGGGUUUUAAACCUUUAUUUGGGCUCUGGGCCCUUUGAAUAAGCUCUGGACAUUCUCUUUAGAAAAGUACAUAUAUGCAUAAAACUCCUGCAGGCAAUCACAAGGAAGUCAUGUAUCUCUGAAAGCCCCAGACUUUUUCAAGUGUAGUCUACAAACCUCCUAUACCAGAAUCACCUGAGAUGCUUGUUUAAAAUAUAGGCUCUUGAAUUCCACUCCAAAUAUGCUGAACUAAGGUAUCUGGGGGAGCAGGGCCUGGAAACCUGCAUUUUAGUUAAGUGUUCCAGGGGAUUCUGAUGCUGGUGAUCUCAUACCUGAAGAAGCCUAGUUCUGCUAGAGAUCCUCAAAGUGUGGGCAUCAAUCACACAGCAAGCUUUUCAAAGGAGGACUCCAGAUACGGCAAAUUGCAGGUUUGGAGUGGCCCCCGGAAGAUGCAUUGGUAGCAACUCCCCAGCUUAUUCUGAUGCAGAUGGUCAGGAUGGUGGUGACAGGUGUGGGGUAGGAGGGCUGAGAAAUGUGUGAGGCUGGCACAAAUGAAAUGGGAUCUGCACGGAAGCCUCCAGCAUUGGCACUGCAGCGCCGUCAUCUCUCUUCUAGGUUCAACCAGUGCUAUGGGGUGCUGGGUGUGCUGGACCACCUCCAUGGGACUGACACCAUGUUCAAGCAGACCAAGGCCUACGAGAGACAUGUCCUCCUGCUGGGCUUCACCCCGCUCUCUGAGAGCAUCCCAGACUCCCCAAAGAGGAUGGAGUGAGAGACGGCCUAAGUGUCAUCCUGGCUGUCCCUCAGCCAUGGGAUGCAGACACGGCUUCCCGAUUGCACCUAACAAUUUGCCUCCUUCGGCCACACGCCCUAAUGAUGGCACCACCAGGGUAGAGGGAAGGUCGGCUUCCCGGAAAAGGAGGGCCAAGGAUGAGGCUUUCUCCAAACUACUGCCCUUGAUGUCCCUCAAUGGGAUCAGGAGUUAGCUUAAGAAAAAGGAAAACAGCUCCCCAGACUGGAGGCUGGUCAGAGGGAGGAGACCCCUGGUCCUCUGCUGUGGAAGGAGAGGGGUUCAGCCCCAGAUAACUCCUUUGUGGCCUGGGCAGGAUGCAGAGAAUGACAAGGCUGAAAGGAGAGGGACUGGAGGCUGCCUGGCUCCAGCGAGAGCUCCUUCUGGGACCAGAGGGUGGGACGGCCAGGUAUCACUUUGCCCCUUCCUGCCCCAAAAGGCUUUCACAUACCCCACUCAGGCCAGAGCCAAGACACCCUGGCAAAUCGUUAUAGGUCUCAAUUCAUGACAUACCAGAUGCCAGUCGCCACUUCACCCAACACACAC